rnacentral:tRNA from 1 species
GUCCCUGUAGCUCAGCAGGAUAGAGCAGCGGUUUCCUAAACCGUUGGUCGGGGGUUCAAAUCCCUCCAGGGAUGCCA